GACGUAGGGGGCCAGCGUUGUUCGGAAUUACUGGGUGUAAAGGGUUCGUAGGCGGUGUAGCAAGUCGGGAGUGAAAUCUCUGGGCUUAACCCAGAGGCUGCUUCCGAAACUGCUGUGCUUGAGUGUGGGAGAGGCGCGUGGAAUUGCAGGUGUAGCGGUGAAAUGCGUAGAUAUCUGCAGGAACACCCGUGGCGAAAGCGGCGCGCUGGACGGUGACUGACGCUGAGACGCGAAAGCGUGGGGAGCAAACAGG
rnacentral:rRNA from 1 species